rnacentral:rRNA from 1 species
UACGUAGGCAGCAAGCGUUGUUCGGAAUUACUGGGCGUAAAGAGUGUGUAGGCGGUGCUCUAAGUUCGGUGUGAAAUCUCCUGCUUAACUGGGAGGGUGCGCCGGAAACUGGAGUGCUCGAGCGUGGGAGAGGAAAGCGGAAGUUCCUGGAUGUGAGCGGUGAAAUGCGUAGAGUAUCAGGAGGAACACCUGUGGUGUAGACAGCUUUCUGGACCAUAGCUGACGCUGAGACACGAAAGCGUGGGUAGCAAACAGG